UUUUAAAUCGAUAUUGUUAAAUGAGUAGAGAGUGUUGCUAGGUGCACCAGCUUUAUUGCUUGUGCACCCAACAUUUUUUUAAUUCCAAAAUUAUCCUGCGUCGAAGGUACGCGAGUUCGUGGUUGAUCUGUAUGUUUAAAUUAAACUUAUGGAUUACAUGAUUCGUAUAAAAUAUACGAAUCAUGUAAUCCGUAAGCAUAAUUUAAACAUACGGAUCAAGUUGAUCCGUAUGGUUUGUAUGGAUGAACUUGAUCCGUAUGAGCCAUACGGAUCAAUGUUGAUCCGUAUGAGUCAACUUGAGUGAAAGACAUUUUCGCCUAUUCACUUAAAAUCUUAAAAUGCUGGGUGCACCAACAAUAAUGCUAGGUGUAACUAGCAUCACCCAUGAGUAGAUAACAUUGGAUUUUUUUUUAGCCAUGUUAGUUUUUUUAACACUUCAAUAGCAAUAAGUCAUAGGUUGUUGCUUGGGGCACCCAGCAACCUGGAUGAAAGGGCAAAAAUGCCUUUCACCAUUUCCUAUAAAAGCCAAAUAGUGAUUCAUCCGUACGAGUCACUAUUCAAUUUUUUUUUAUGUGCUCUUCCUCCUUCCUCCGUUCUCCUUCCUCCUUCCUCUGUUUCGUGCCUUCGUGACCGUGCCAUUCGUGGUUCCGCUGCUGUUGUCGUUCGUGCUGCUGCUGCCACCGUGACCGUGUUGUGUUGUGUUGUUGCUGCUUCUUCUUUCUUCUUCUCCUUCGAGAAUGUCACGCUCUCGUGCGACGUCAUCACGUUGGACCAGCCUCAAUAAGGAACUGGAAUAGCUUCUUGCGAAUGUGCCUAAAUUAACCAUUGACGAGCACAGAGAGUGGAGGGAAAUGACAAACAUGAUGCAGAAUGUCGCGGCUUCACUAGAGGCUUUUUUCCAGACCGUUCACAUCAGGGACCAGAUUUUCGGUGAAGUUAGUAAGGUAUAUGCUGUCAAGUGGAAUGACGUACUGGACGGUGUAUGACAUUUGGUUGACAAAGACGGAAAUUAUCAUAACGUUGUGUACAAUAAAGAUCUGGAUAAACCAACCAUUGUAGCAGGGUGGACAACACUAUGAGAUUUUUACCAGUUGACCGGAGAUCAUCUAGUAUCCUUGCAUCAUUAUGGUAACAGUGUAAUUUUUCUUACCAUAUUCAAGAUCAUUUGCCUGCCCAAAUCAUUCCCAAGAUGACACUCUUUAUACCAUCAAGUGUCAGGUUCUAUUACCUUCAAGGUUUAUCUCACUGAGCAGAAAGUUACCUGUAGCAGUCUGGACGUUCCAAGUAGCAUGUAUUAUUUUCUUAAAGACAAAGGCUGGACGCAUUUGCACUUGGAGGACGUUGCUGAAUGUCGACUCGUGUUCAAUCAUUUUAGGAAGACACUUAAAAUUGGAGUCGGAUGGAAACAUUUAUGCGAGACCUUGUCAUUGACCGUUGACAUGGGAAUAGUUUUUGAAUUCAUUGAUCCCAAUGUUAAUCGUGUGCUCUAUUGGGCGUAUUUAUGAAUAAUUUAGGAUUUUGAACAUUUAAUUACUUUGAACAUUUUAAUUAUUAUGAACAUUUUAAUUAUAUAUUAGUUGUUUUAUAAUAA